rnacentral:rRNA from 1 species
AAAUUGAAGAGUUUGAUCAUGGCUCAGAUUGAACGCUGGCGGCAGGCCUAACACAUGCAAGUCGAGCGGAAACGACAACAUUGAUUCUUCGGAGGAUUURWUGGGCGUCGAGCGGCGGACGGGUGAGUAAUGCCUAGGAAAUUGCCUUGAUGUGGGGGAUAACCAUUGGAAACGAUGGCUAAUACCGCAUAAUGCCUACGGGCCAAAGAGGGGGACCUUCGGGCCUCUCGCGUCAAGAUAUGCCUAGGUGGGAUUAGCUAGUUGGUGAGGUAAUGGCUCACCAAGGCGACGAUCCCUAGCUGGUCUGAGAGGAUGAUCAGCCACACUGGAACUGAGACACGGUCCAGAC